CACGUAGGGUGCGAGCGUUGUCCGGAAUUAUUGGGCGUAAAGAGCUAGUAGGCGGUGUGUCGCGUCGGCCGUGAAAACCUGCAGCUUAACUGUGGGCUUGCGGUCGAUACGGGCAUCACUGGAGUUCGGCAGGGGAGACUGGAAUUCCUGGUGUAGCGGUGAAAUGCGCAGAUAUCAGGAGGAACACCGGUGGCGAAGGCGGGUCUCUGGGCCGAUACUGACGCUGAGGAGCGAAAGCGUGGGGAGCGAACAGG
rnacentral:rRNA from 1 species